GAACGCUGGCGGCGUGCCUAAUACAUGCAAGUCGAGCGAACGGACGAGAAGCUUGCUUCUCUGAUGUUAGCGGCGGACGGGUGAGUAACACGUGGAUAACCUACCUAUAAGACUGGGAUAACUUCGGGAAACCGGAGCUAAUACCGGAUAAUAUUUUGAACCGCAUGGUUCAAAAGUGAAAGACGGUCUUGCUGUCACUUAUAGAUGGAUCCGCGCUGCAUUAGCUAGUUGGUAAGGUAACGGCUUACCAAGGCAACGAUGCAUAGCCGACCUGAGAGGGUGAUCGGCCACACUGGAACUGAGACACGGUCCAGACUCCUACGGGAGGCAGCAGUAGGGAAUCUUCCGCAAUGGGCGAAAGCCUGACGGAGCAACGCCGCGUGAGUGAUGAAGGUCUUCGGAUCGUAAAACUCUGUUAUUAGGGAAGAACAUAUGUGUAAGUAACUGUGCACAUCUUGACGGCACCUAAUCAGAAAGCCACGGCUAACUACGUG
rnacentral:rRNA from 1 species